rnacentral:lncRNA from 10 species
GACACUGUCAGCUCCUAACGCCGCAGGUUCCUCCUGGUCCCCGAGGCCCCCGGUCGGGCGUUGCCUGCCCCGCGCGGGCGGCCGGGCCGAGGGACGAUGGUCAGUGGACGGACGGCGCCAGGGAGCAGUGCCCACGCGCGGCAGGGCGGUACCUUCAGGCCUCCAGGACUGGCUCUCCUGACCUCUCCAGGUGUCAUCGAACACCCUUGUGCUUGCUGUCACCCGCUGCCUGUCUGCAGGAUCCCGGAUUCCGUAUCAGGGGACCGAAAUUAGUCGGAAAAUAGGAAGCAGGUGCUCGCUUGGAUGGAACCCUGACCCUGUGCUCACACUUGUAGGAGGAGGGCUCUGCAGGCCGCCUCCCGGAACGGGAGGUUCCCAAGCCACUGCACUUCGGAGGGGCUGUAAUUAGAGUUGCACAUUCAUUCAGUUCCCAGUAAAGUAGAACGUGCUCCAGCCAGUGAGGAAAAGGUGUUUUUAAAAAUUAGAUUGGCCGAGUGCGGUGGCUCAUGCCUUUUACCUCAACACUUUGGGAGACAAAGGUGGGAGGAUCACCUGUGGCCAGGAGUUCAAGACCAGCCUGGGCAACAGAGCCUGUCUCUGGGGAAGAAUAAAAAAAAAAAUUGAGCCUUU